rnacentral:piRNA from 1 species
UGUGAGUAUUCCCGCCAAAGCAAUGCAUU